CUACGGGAGGCUGCAGCAAGGAAUUUUGGGCAAUGAGCGAAAGCUUGACCCAGCGACACCGCGUGAGGGAGUAAGGCCUUCGGGUUGUAAACCUCUUUUCCUGGGGAAGAACUCUGACGGUACCCAGGGAAUAAGCCUCGGCCAACUACGUGCCAGCAGCCGCGGUAAUACGUAGGAGGCGAACGUUAUUCGGAUUUACUGGGCGUAAAGGGAGCGUAGGCGGUUCCUCAAGUCGAAUGUGAAAUCUUCCGCCUCAAUCGGAAGGCGCCAUUUGAUACUGGGGGACUUGAGAGCAGCAGAGGGGAAUGGAAUCUCCAGUGUAGCGGUGAAAUGCGUAGAUAUUGGAGAGAACACCAGUGGCGAAAGCGAUUUCCCAGGCUGCUUCUGACGCUGAGGCUCGAAAGCGUGGGGAGCGAAGCGGAUUAGAUACCCGGGUAGUC
rnacentral:rRNA from 1 species